rnacentral:rRNA from 1 species
GAUGAACGCUGGCGGCGUGCCUAAUACAUGCAAGUCGAGCGAACAGAUGCGGAGCUUGCUCCUCUGACGUUAGCGGCGGCCGGGUGAGUAACACGUGGAUAACCUACCUAUAAGACUGGGAUAACUUCGGGAAACCGGAGCUAAUACCGGGUAAUAUAUUGAACCGCAUGGUUCAAUAGUGAAAGACGGGUUUGCUGUCACUUAUAGAUGGUUCCGAGCCGCAUUAGCUAGUUGGUAAGGUAACGGCUUACCAAGGCAACGAUGCGUAGCCGACCUGAGAGGGUGAUCGGCCACACUGGAACUGAGACACGGUCCAGACUCCUACGGGAGGCAGCAGUAGGGACUCUUCCGCAAUGGGCGAAAGCCUGACGGAGCAACGCCGCGUGAGUGAUGAAGGUCUUCGGAUCGUAAAACUCUGUUAUUAGGGAAGAACAAAUGUGUAAGUAACUAUGCACGUCUUGACGGUACCUAAUCAGAAAGCCACGGCUAACUACGUG